rnacentral:rRNA from 1 species
AGCUCCAGUAGCGUAUAUUAAAGUUGUUGCAGUUAAAAAGCUCGUAGUUGGAUUUCUGGCUUGAUGACUCCUGACCCGCGCGUUAUUCGCGUGAGUUGUCGGUGGGCAUCUGCCAUCCUUCCAGAAAACCUUUCUACCCUUCACUGGGCCGGAUUGGCGAUCUGGAACAUUUACUUUGAAAAAAUUAGAGUGUUCAAAGCAGGCUUGCGCUAUGAAUAUAUUAGCAUGGAAUAAUAAUUUAGGGCUUUGGUUCUAUUUUGUUGGUUUCUAGGAUCGAAGCAAUGAUUGAUAGGGAUAGUUGGGGGUGCUAGUAUUAAGCGGCCAGAGGUGAAAUUCUUGGAUUCGCUUAAGACUAACUUAUGCGAAAGCAUUCACCAAGGAUGUCUUCUUUAAUCAAGAA